UACGUAGGUGGCAAGCGUUGUCCGGAUUUAUUGGGUUUAAAGGGUGCGUAGGCGGUUUUUUAAGUCAGUGGUGAAAUACGGCAGCUCAACUGUCGAGGUGCCAUUGAUACUGGGAAACUUGAGUACUGAUGAGGUAGGCGGAAUGGACGGUGUAGCGGUGAAAUGCUUAGAUAUCGUCCAGAACACCGAUAGCGAAGGCAGCUUACUAAGGAGUAACUGACGCUGAGGCACGAAAGCUGGGGGAGCGAACAGG
rnacentral:rRNA from 1 species